GACGAACGCUGGCGGCGUGCCUAAUACAUGCAAGUUGAGCGCUGGAGGGUGGUUCUUGUACGAACUGGGUGGGCAACGGACGGGUGAUUAAUACGAGUGUAAUCUGCCGUUGAGCGUAGGACAACAUUUGGAAACGUAUUCUAGUACCCGAUAAGAGCUUGAAACACAAGUUUUAUGGUUGAAAGAUGCAAUUGCAUAACUCAAAGAGGAUUCCGCGUUUGAUUAGCUAGUUGGUUAGGGAAAGGCUCACCAAUGCGAGGAUACAUAGCCGACCUGAGAAGGUGAACGGCCACAAUGGGACUGAGACAAGGCCCAAACUCCUAAGGGAGGCAGCAGUAGGGAAUCUUCGGCAAUGGACGAAAGUCUGACCGAGCAACGCCGCGUGAGUGAAGAAGGUUCUCGGAUCGUAAAACUCUGUUGGUAGAGAAGAACGUUGGUGAGAGUGGAAAGCUCAUCAAGUGACGGUAACUACACAGAAAGGGACGGCUAACUACGUG
rnacentral:rRNA from 1 species